GUCCCUAUCUACUAUCUAGCGAAACCACAGCCAAGGGAACGGGCUUGGAAUAAUUAGCGGGGAAAGAAGACCCUUUUGAGCUUGACUCUAAUCUGGCAGUGUAAGGAGACAUAAGAGGUGUAGCAUAAGUGGGAGAUAUUAGAUUUCGGUUUGGUAUCGACAAUGAAAUACCACUACUCUUAUUGUUUCCUUACUUACUUGAUUAAAUGGAACGUGUAUCAUUUCCUAGCCAUUAAACGGAUAUAUUUAUUAUAUCUUAUGGUAUUGGGUUUUGAUGCAAGCUUCUUGAUCAACGUAUCACGAGUUUGUUAUAUAAUCGCAAACAAAUUCUUUAAUGAGAAGAUGCAUUUAUGUAUUUUCAAUUUGAAAAUUUGGUAAAACUCCAAUUACUCAAGUAUGAUCCAAUUCAAGGACAUUGCCAGGUAGGGAGUUUGACUGGGGCGGUACAUCUCUCAAAUAAUAACGGAUGUGUCCCAAAGCCAGCUCAGUGCGGACAGAAACCACACAUAGAGCAAAAGGGCAAAUGCUGACUUGAUCUCGGUGUUCAGUACACACAGGGACAGCAAAAGCUCGGCCUAUCGAUCCUUUUGGUUUAAAGAGUUUUUAACAAGAGGUGUCAGAAAAGUUACCAUAGGGAUAACUGGCUUGUGGCGGCCAAGCGUUCAUAGCGACGUCGCUUUUUGAUCCUUCGAUGUCGGCUCUUCCUAUCAUUGUGAAGCAAAAUUCACCAAGCGUUGGAUUGUUCACCCAUGCAAGGGAACGUGAGCUGGGUUUAGACCGUCGUGAGACAGGUUAGUUUUUCCCUACUAAUGACAAAACGUUGUUGCGACAGCAUUCCUGCGUAGUACGAGAGGAACCGCAGGUACGGACCAGUGGCACAAUACUUGGUCGAGCGAACAGGAAG